GCAGAGGAAGAAACUGAGGCACAGAAUGGUAAACGUAAACAAUCCAAGCUCAUGUAGCUGAUGCAGAACCUGGAGCAUAGAAAGGAUGAGCAACUUGACCAAAGACACACACUUUCAAGUGGCAGAGAAUGUAACCGGCAGCUGUUGGCAACUGGUUCCAGCUAUUAAUAUUCUGAGAAGUGGCGGAGCUGUGAGGAGUCUUUUUGUCCUGUCCACAUGACAAGGAGCAGUGCUGUUUGGGGAGGCUGGUGAAUGAGGGGGGUCCUCCUCACUGAAGAUCAUUCGGCUCAAAGUUGGAAGGUCAAUGGUGAGGUUGGAUCUUCAUUCCGCCAACAACCGGUUCCGUGACCUGGAGCAAAAGGGAGAGAGCACAGCCUGUACAG